rnacentral:rRNA from 1 species
AAACCAGCACCUCAAGUGGUCAGGAUGAUUAUUGGGCCUAAAGCAUCCGUAGUCUGCUUUGCCAGUUUUCGGUUAAAUCCAUACGCUUAACGUAUGGGCUGCCGGAAAUACUACAAAGCUAGGGAGUGGGAGAGGUAGACGGUACUCGGGAGGAAGUGGUAAAAUGCUUUGAUCUCUCGAUGACCACCUGUGGCGAAGGCGGUCUACCAGAACACGUCCGACGGUGAGGGAUGAAAGCUGGGGGAGCAAACCGGAUUAGAUACCCGAGUAGUCC